GACGAACGCUGGCGGCGUGCUUAACACAUGCAAGUCGAACGAAAAUACCAAGCUUGCUUGGUUGAUUAGUGGCGAACGGGUGAGUAACACGUGAGUAACCUGCCCCUUACUUUCCUGGAUAACUGCUCGAAAGGGUAGCUAAUACGGGAUAUUCUGACCAGCCUGCAUGGGUUGGGUUGGAAAGGUUGUUUUUCUGGUAAGGGAUGGGCUCGCGGCCUAUCAGCUUGUUGGUGGGGUGAUGGCCUACCAAGGCUUUGACGGGUAGCCGGCCUGAGAGGGUGGACGGUCACACUGGGACUGAGAUACGGCCCAGACUCCUACGGGAGGCAGCAGUGGGGAAUAUUGCACAAUGGGCGCAAGCCUGAUGCAGCGACGCCGCGUGAGGGAUGAAGGCCUUCGGGUUGUAAACCUCUUUCGUCAGGGAACAAGGCACUGCUUUUUUGGUGGUGUUGAGGGUACCUGGAUAAGAAGCGCCGGCUAACUACGUG
rnacentral:rRNA from 1 species